UUAAAAGGAAAACACUAUCAUAUUUAAAUAACAGAUACUAUGACUUUUUUCUUGUUUCAGAAUUCCAGAUUUAAUUGUGAUACUGCUUCAUCUCAAGUUACAAAUUCUGUGUUUAUGAGCAUUUUAGUGUAUUUAGUAAUAUUAAUCUGGAAAACAAACAUUUAAUUCAAUAUUACCUGAACUGCUUCAAAAGUGUAUUUUCUAUGUGCUCAUCAAAAGACAUUUGCAAAUACUUGUGUUAAGAGGGAAGAAUGUUGCAUAGUUUACACGUACAUCAAGGCAUAAUACAUUUAAUUAUAGAUUUUAGAUUUAAUUUAUUUAAGAUACCACUUUGUUUCCACAGUAUAUGACCUCUAGCUGAAGUAGGUUGACCCUGGCCAGCAACAAAACACUUGCAGUUUCACAGUCACUCCCCUUUCCUAAUGGAUAGGUAAAAAUGUAAAGGAGAAAACAAGAAGACUCAUGGACAUGCAGUCAAUGAAACAAAACCUCCCUUACUGAGAAAUAAACUACUAUGAACUUCAUAAUUUCAGUAGGAUCAGAAUACUCUGACUGUUCAAAACAAACAUUGUUCAAUAGAUUUAUAUCAGAAAUUAAGGAAAACACAGCACACUUUUAAUCUAAGUUGCACAGAGGAAAGAGGGUGGAUGGGUUGUUUAUAUAUUUUUUUCUUCUUAUUGCAAUUGGGAAUGAGACUUUUUUAUGUCUACAUAAAAUAUAAAUUAACUGUAACACUUAUAAAUAACAAAAUUCUCAAAGGCCUCUCAGCAAAUUGCCUACAAAGUGCAAUUCUUAGAAACCAGUAAGUUAUAUACGCCUGGUUCCUGUGGGCUUUUCUGUUUGGUGGUAAAUUUAAAACUUUUGUCCCUCCUAGGGAAAUAUAUAUAUAUAUAUUGUGCCUGCAUAGUAGCUCUGCAGUUUGUUAAAACCUGUAGUAGGAAUUCGUCUCUUCUUACUGCUGACAGGUGACAGGACAAGGGGAAAUGGCCUCGAGUUGUGCCAGAGUAAGUUUAGGUUGGAUAUUAGGGAACACUUCUUUACAGAAAGGGUUGUUAAGCACUGGAAUAGGCUCCCCAGGGAGGUGGUUGAGUCAAUAUCCCUGGAUGUGUUUAAAAACUGUUUGGAUGUGGUGCUCAGGGAUGUGAUUUAGCAGAGGAUUGUUAGUUAGGGUAGUAUGGUUAGGUUGUGGUUGGACUUGAUCCUGAAGGUCUUUUCCAACCUGAGUGAUUCUAUGAUUCUAUGAUUCUGAUAGAAAAAAACACUUCACCUGAACAUGGACCUCAUAUAAUGAACAUUAUGUUAACACAAGGGGGAAAAAUAAUAAUUACAUUACAAGCUUUAUCCAGAAGUGAUACCACUUAUCAGUCAGAGCAUAU
rnacentral:lncRNA from 1 species